GCGUUGUUCGGAAUUACUGGGCGUAAAGGGCGCGUAGGCGGCCUGAGGAGUCGGGUGUGAAAGCCCGGGGCUCAACCCCGGAACGGCACCCGAUACUCUCGGGCUCGAGACCGGAAGAGGUGAGUGGAAUACCCAGUGUAGAGGUGAAAUUCGUAGAUAUUGGGUGGAACACCGGUGGCGAAAGCGGCUCACUGGUCCGGUUCUGACGCUGAGGCGCGAAAGCGUG
rnacentral:rRNA from 1 species